AACGAACGCUGGCGGCAUGCCUAACACAUGCAAGUCGAACGAGACCUUCGGGUCUAGUGGCACACGGGUGCGUAACGCGUGGGAACCUGCCCUUAGGUUCGGAAUAACUCCCCGAAAGGGGUGCUAAUACCGGAUAAUGUCUUCGGACCAAAGAUUUAUCGCCUUUGGAUGGGCCCGCGUUGGAUUAGCUAGUUGGUAGGGUAAAAGCCUACCAAGGCGACGAUCCAUAGCUGGUCUGAGAGGAUGAUCAGCCACACCGGGACUGAGACACGGCCCAGACUCCUACGGGAGGCAGCAGUGGGGAAUAUUGGACAAUGGGCGAAAGCCUGAUCCAGCAAUGCCGCGUGAGUGAUGAAGGCCUUAGGGUUGUAAAGCUCUUUUACCCGGGAUGAUAAUGACAGUACCGGGAGAAUAAGCUCCGGCUAACUCCGUG
rnacentral:rRNA from 1 species